AGAAAUCCUAGAAUUGCAUGUU
rnacentral:siRNA from 1 species